AACUAUAAAUUGAAAUUGUAAAGGUUGCUUAGUUUAUGAGUAUCGAGAUUUAGUGGGUACUGGUUAGAAUACUCAUCAACAACAGAGCUAAGAGGUGAAGGAGAACCUGUGUUAAUGGGGUUGAUUAGAAAAGUCUGACCUUUUGGUAUUGCCAAGCAGAAUGUACAGGUUCAUGAUUUAGAAGGGGAGAGGGGAUAGAGUGGGCUUAUGUGUUUGUUCACAUGGAUCUUAGAGAAAAAGAUCUUUUAAUUGAUCUUGAAUGUGGUGGGACUAAUGGUGAAGAAGAAGGAAAUAAAGAACCAUGUACAGUUGCUAAGCCAACAAAGAAAUUAUUGGGUAGGGUAUGGGAUGGGUUUGUGAGCUUUGAUGGUGCAAUCAAAGUUGAAAGGGCCAUGAGUUUAGUCAAUUCCUCAAGUUCUGCUGAUGUUUGUCCAGAGAAUCCAGAAAUGUUAACAGAGAAGAAGUCUGGACAAGACGAACCAUUGGGCCUUGGUGAAAAUAAAAUACUGAAGGAGAAACGUAAAAAGACAAGCUCUAAAAAGCCUGCAAAGCCACCACGACCUCCCAGAGGUCCAUCAUUGGAUGCUGCUGAUAUGAAACUGGUCCGAGAGAUCUCUGAGCUUGCUAUGUUGAAGCGGGCCAGGAUUGAGCGGAUGAAGGCAUUGAAGAAGAUAAAAGCAGUGAAGGCAACAUCAUCAAGUAGCAGUGUGUGUGCUAUGGUCGUCACCAUACUCUUCUGCCUUGUAAUGAUUUUUCAAGAUAUUCAUUGCAGGAAUGUGUUCCAAAAGCAGCUCAAGUGUUACCUUCCAGGGAUCUCCUGAAACAGCUGUUGGAUUGAUUUCAGUUCCAUAUAAUAAGACUCUUUCUGCUAGUGAUGCCAAUGGACCUAAUACCCUAUCACCCAAUUUUGUGGAACAAGUUGCUGGGUCUACUCCCGGGGAAGAAGUGAGUAGAGCUACUGGAUGAAAUGGAAUGCCUGUCAAUGAGAAUUUGGAAGGUGCUGUGAGGCCUGUCCAGUAGAAGAUACGUAGGUUGUCCUUGCCAGUUUUGGUACAUAACAGCUUGUUUUGAUGAUUUCAGUUGUGUAUAUAUGUGUAGAAUUUUUGCCUAAUGAGGGUGAAAGGCUUAGGAAAGUUGUUUUUCCCCAGUGCAAUAAGUAGAGAUUUAAAUUAGUGGUCUGCGAAGUAGCACUUGUUCUUCAGUACCUGUUUAUGACGGACUUAGGGACGUGGUAUUAUGCUCAUAAACCAGUGUUUUCUAAGACCAUCAACCUGGUUCUGACUGUGGUUGGAUGACCAUUUGGAUUGUCAACUUUCUACUUAUAAAGUUCAUUAAUCAGAUUAUAAUCUUCC